ensembl:lncRNA
GAACUGCAUUCUGGGUAUGAAGAUGCUGAUGAGCUUCUCUCAGGUUCGAGAGAUGAAGCACACAUUCACUCCACAUUUCUAUUAAAAAAGGACCCCUUUUUAAUGAAUUCACAUAAAUAAAUAAAUAAAUAAAUAAAUAGAUAAAUGAUUGAAGUGAACUAAUUAUUUUACAUAUUUGAUUAAUGACCCAAUACUAUUAAAAUACUGCCGUUUACUUAUAUAUUAACAGUUUUUCUAUUUAGUACAGUAACCUAUUUAACUGAUCACAUGAUUCACUACCAGAUGUUUAAUAAACUCUUAUAAAUAUUAAUUCUCAGUCUCAUGACCUGCAGCAAGAACAUAUUUUGGUUUUGUAUCCAAACAUAUUGUGUGUUGAUGCAGAAGAGAUGGUGAAGGAAAUCACACCGGGAUACUAUGAUGAUGUCAUCACUGUUGGACUGAAACCAGAUCGUGAGACAGAGGGAGUUCAGGAGAAGUAUGAUGAUGUCAUGAGUGUCAGUGAAGAUGUGACAAACCUGUUGGAUUAUGAUGAUGUGGAGGAGGAGUCAAACAAAGAAGGGGGACAUUUGGCUCAAUGAUCUCAUCCACUGCUUCGGUUCAACACAUCUGAACAAAGUUUGAGUUAUUGAUAUAUCGAUAUUGUUAUUGAUAUGUCAAAUCUCAGGUUUUUAUAUUUUUUCCCCAUUUUUUGUAUUAAAUCUGUUAUGCUUUUGUGGAUUUUGUAGGAUUUUUUGCCUUUUUAAAAGCAAUAAAAAGUAGGUUUUUGUAUAUCA